UAGGGAAUCUUCCACAAUGGACGCAAGUCUGAUGGAGCAACGCCGCGUGAGUGAAGAAGGUUUUCGGAUCGUAAAGCUCUGUUGUUGGUGAAGAAGGAUAGAGGUAGUAACUGGCCUUUAUUUGAUGGUAAUCAACCAGAAAGUCACGGCUAACUACGUGCCAGCAGCCGCGGUAAUACGUAGGUGGCAAGCGUUGUCCGGAUUUAUUGGGCGUAAAGCGAGCGCAGGCGGAAGAAUAAGUCUGAUGUGAAAGCCCUCGGCUUAACCGAGGAACUGCAUCGGAAACUGUUUUUCUUGAGUGCAGAAGAGGAGAGUGGAAUUCCAUGUGUAGCGGUGGAAUGCGUAGAUAUAUGGAAGAACACCAGUGGCGAAGGCGACUCUCUGGUCUGCAACUGACGCUGAGGCUCGAAAGCAUGGGUAGCGAACAGG
rnacentral:rRNA from 1 species